UUGAAAGGGAAACGAUUGAAGUCAGUCGUACCUGUGGGUAAUCAGCCUUUUGGGUGUGAUUUUGUGGAGUGUGAGGAGUUAAACGCCUUCAUGCCUGCAUAUUCGUGCACUUUGGGUGUAUUUACCCGUGUGGUAAGUUAACAUCAAUUUCGGUGGUCAUAAAAUGGCUGGAGGAAUGUAGCUUCGAUCUUGUAUUGAAGUGUUAUAGCCUUCGGUAGAUGUGAUAAUCGGGAUUGAGGAUUGCAACGGAUACCCCUCGGGGCUACCUGUCUGAUCUCUGAUCGUUGCUCUGGUGCCGAAAGCUUGCUUACGGUUANCAAAGUCGAUGGUCAAUAGGUUAGAACGGGUUAAAUUCGUUAAGGAUGUUGACGUA
rnacentral:rRNA from 1 species